AGCAGCCGCGGUAAUUCCAGCUCCAAUAGCGUAUAUUAAAGUUGUUGCAGUUAAAAAGCUCGUAGUUGAAUUUCGGGGUUUAUCCGUUGGUCGGGCUUUUUGGUCUGUACUGGCGUGAUGGAUUCCUACCUUCUGAAUAACCGGCAUGCCAUUAAUUUGGUGCGCCGGGGAAGCAGGACUGUUACCUUGAAAAAAUUAGAGUGCUUAAAGCAGGCUUAUGCCUGAAUACAUUAGCAUGGAAUAAUGAAAUAGGACGGCAUGGUUCUAUUUUGUUGGUUUCUAGGAUCACCGUAAUGAUUAAUAGGGAUAGUUGGGGGCAUUAGUAUUCAAUUGUCAGAGGUGAAAUUCUUGGAUUUAUUGAGGACUAACUACUGCGAAAGCAUUUGCCAAGGAUGUUUUCAUUAAUCAAGAACGAAAGUUAGGGGAUCGAAGACGAUCAGAUACCGUCGUAGUCUUAACCAUAAACUAUGCCGACUAGGGAUCGGAUGAUGUUAAUUUUUUAAUGACUCAUUCGGCGCCU
rnacentral:rRNA from 1 species